CCCUCUUUUUCGCGCUUUUUUCGGAAUUACUGGGCGUAAAGGGCGCGUAGGCGGCCUGCUAAGUCGGACGUGAAAUCCCUCGGCUCAACCGAGGAACUGCGUCCGAUACUGGUUGGCUUGAAUUCGGGAGAGGGAUGCGGAAUUCCAGGUGUAGCGGUGAAAUGCGUAGAUAUCGGGAGGAACAUCAGUGGCGAAGGCGGCUUACUGGAUCAACACUGACACUGAGGCACGAAAGCGUGGGUAGCAAACAGGA
rnacentral:rRNA from 1 species